rnacentral:rRNA from 1 species
CUCGUAGGUGGUUUGUCGCGUUGUUCGUGAAAACUCACAGCUUAACUGUGAGCGUGCGGGCGAUACGGGCAGACUGGAGUACUGCAGGGGAGACUGGAAUUCCUGGUGUAGCGGUGGAAUGCGCAGAUAUCAGGAGGAACACCGGUGGCGAAGGCGGGUCUCUGGGCAGUAACUGACGCUGAGGAGCGAAAGCGUGGGGAGCGAACA